ACGCACGCUGGCGGCGUGCUUCACCCCUGCCAGUCGCACGGAAAGGCCCUGCUUUUGUGGGGUGCUCGAGUGGCGAACGGGUGAGUAACACGUGAGUAACCUGCCCUUGACUUUGGGAUAACUUCAGGAAACUGGGGCUAAUACCGGAUAGGAGCUCCUGCUGCAUGGUGGGGGUUGGAAAGUUUCGGCGGUUGGGGAUGGACUCGCGGCUUAUCAGCUUGUUGGUGGGGUAGUGGCUUACCAAGGCUUUGACAGGUAGCCGGCCUGAGAGGGUGACCGGCCACAUUGGGACUGAGAUACGGCCCAGACUCCUACGGGAGGCAGCAGUGGGGAAUAUUGCACAAUGGGCGGAAGCCUGAUGCAGCAACGCCGCGUGCGGGAUGACGGCCUUCGGGUUGUAAACCGCUUUCGCCUGUGACGAAGCGUGAGUGACGGUAAUGGGUAAAGAAGCACCGGCUAACUACGUG
rnacentral:rRNA from 1 species